rnacentral:rRNA from 1 species
GAUGAACGCUAGCGACAGGCUUAACACAUGCAAGUCGAGGGGCAGCACGGGAGUAGCAAUACAACUGGUGGCGACCGGCGCACGGGUGAGUAACGCGUAUGCAACCUACCUAUCAGAGGGGGAUAACCCGGCGAAAGUCGGACUAAUACCGCAUAAAACAGGGGCACCGCAUGGUGAUAUUUGUUAAAGAAAUUCGCUGAUAGAUGGGCAUGCGUUCCAUUAGGUAGUUGGUGAGGUAACGGCUCACCAAGCCGACGAUGGAUAGGGGAACUGAGAGGUUGGUCCCCCACACUGGUACUGAGACACGGACCAGACGCCUACGGGAGGCAGCAGUGAGGAAUAUUGGUCAAUGGGCGGGAGCCUGAACCAGCCAAGUCGCGUGAAGGAAGAAGGAUCUAUGGUUCGUAAACUUCUUUUGCAGGGGAAUAAAGUGCAGGACGUGUCCUGUUUUGUAUGUACCCUGAGAAUAAGGAUCGGCUAACUCCGUGCCAGCCGCCGCGGUAAGAC